rnacentral:rRNA from 1 species
UAAAUCGGCACGUUGCAGUCCAGGAGCUCGUAGUUGGAUUUCGGAAGGUCUUUAGUGGUCCGCCCCUUCGGGGAGCGGGUCACUGGCCUCCUAUGUUCCUAACGGUCCUCAUCCGCGAGGGUGGGGAAUCAACCGCUAGGAUCGUUUACUUUGAGGAAAUUAGAGUGUUCAAAGCAGGCGUAACUCGCCUCCGAAUACGUUAGCAUGGGAUAAUGGAAUACGACUUCGGUCUUGUUUCGUUGGUUUCGCUUGGCUGAAGUAAUGAUUGAUAGGGACAGUUGGGGGCAUUAGUAUUUAGUUGUCAGAGGUGAAAUUCUAGGAUUUACUAAAGACUGACCAAUGCGAAAGCAUUUGCCAAGGAUGUUUUCAUUAAUCAAGAACGAAAGUAGGGGGAUCGAAGACGAUCAGAUACCGUCGUAGUCUCUACCGUAAACUAUGCCGACCAGGGAUCCGGAGAGUUUGCAUGGAUGACUCCCCGGGCACCUUGUGAGAAAUCAUAAGUGUUUGGGUUUUGGGGGGAGUAUGGUCGCAAGGCUGAAACUUAAAGGAAUUGACGGAAGGGCACCACCAGGAGUGGAACCUGCGGCUUAAUUUGACUCAACACGGGGAAACUUACGAGGUCAGGACACUGUGAGGAUUGACAGAUUGAAAGCU